GACGAACGCUGGCGGCGUGCCUAAUACAUGCAAGUCGAACGCAUUUUCUUUCACCGUAGCUUGCUACACCGAAAGAAAAUGAGUGGCGAACGGGUGAGUAACACGUGGGUAACCUGCCCAUCAGCGGGGGAUAACACUUGGAAACAGGUGCUAAUACCGCAUAAUUCCAUUUACCGCAUGGUAGAUGGGUGAAAGGCGCUUUUGCGUCACUGAUGGAUGGACCCGCGGUGCAUUAGCUAGUUGGUGGGGUAACGGCCUACCAAGGCUGCGAUGCAUAGCCGCCCGGAGAGGGUGAUCGGCCACACUGGGACGGGGACACGGCCCAGACUCCUACGGGAGGCAGCAGUAGGGAAUCUUCGGCAAUAGACGCAAGUCUGACCGAGCAACGCCGCGUGAGUGAAGAAGGUUUUCGGAUCGUAAAACUCUGUUGUUAGAGAAGAACAAGGAUGAGAGUGGAAAGUUCAUCCCUUGACGGUAUCUAACCAGAAAGCCACGGCUAACUACGUG
rnacentral:rRNA from 1 species